UAGGGAAUAUUGCGCAAUGGGGGCAACCCUGACGCAGCGACGCCGCGUGAGUGAAGAAGGCCUUACAGGUUGUAAAGCUCUGUAAGGAGGGAAGAACCACAAGUGGUAACGCACUUGUCUGACGGUACCUCCAGAGUAAGGACCGGCUAAAUACGUGCCAGCAGCCGCGGUAAUACGUAUGGUCCGAGCGUUGUCCGGAAUCACUGGGCGUAAAGGGUGUGUAGGCGGAAUUUCAAGUCAGGUGUGAAAUCCCCCGGCUUAACCGGGGAAUUGCGCUUGAAACUGGAAUUCUAGAGCAUGUCAGGGGUGAGCGGAAUUCCCGGAGUAGCGGUGAAAUGCGUAGAUAUCGGGAAGAACACCGGUGGCGAAGGCGGCUCACUGGGGCAUGGCUGACGCUGAGGCACGAAAGCGUGGGGAGCGAACG
rnacentral:rRNA from 1 species